rnacentral:rRNA from 1 species
CCUACGGGUGGCAGCAGUGGGGAAUAUUUGGCAAUGGGCGCAAGCCUGACCCAGCAACGCCGCGUGAAGGACGAAGGCUUUCGGGUUGUAAACUUCUUUUCUCAGGGACGAAGCAAGUGACGGUACCUGAGGAUUGAGCCUCGGCUAACUACGUGCCAGCAGCCGCGGUAAUACGUAGGUGGCAAGCGUUAUCCGGAUUUACUGGGUGUAAAGGGCGUGUAGGCGGGACUGCAAGUCAGAUGUGAAAACCACGGGCUCAACCUGUGGCCUGCAUUUGAAACUGUAGUUCUUGAGUACUGGAGAGGCAGACGGAAUGCCUAGUGUAGCGGUGAAAUGCGUAGAUAUUAGGAAGAACACCAGUGGCGAAGGCGGUCUGCUGGACAGCAACUGACGCUGAGGCGCGAAAGCGUGGGGAGCAAACAGGAUUAGAUACCCUUGUAGUC